rnacentral:rRNA from 1 species
UACGAAGGGGGCUAGCGUUGCUCGGAAUUACUGGGCGUAAAGCGCACGUAGGCGGGUUCUUAAGUCGGUGGUGAAAUCCUGGAGCUCAACUCCAGAACUGCCUCCGAAACUGGGAAUCUUGAGUCCGGGAGAGGUGAGUGGAACUGCGAGUGUAGAGGUGAAAUUCGUAGAUAUUCGCAAGAACACCAGUGGCGAAGGCGGCUGACUGGACCAUUACUGACGCUGAGGCGCGAAAGCGUGGGGAGCAAACAGGG